UACGGAGGGUGCGAGCGUUGUCCGGAAUCACUGGGCGUAAAGCGCGCGCAGGCGGCGGUGUUGGCCCGGCGUGAAAGCCCCCGGCUCAACCGGGGAGGGUCGUCGGGGACCGCACCGCUUGAGGGCGGUAGGGGCUGGUGGAAUGCCUGGUGUAGUGGUGAAAUGCGUAGAGAUCAGGCAGAACACCUGGGGCGAAGGCGGCCAGCUGGGCCGUCCCUGACGC
rnacentral:rRNA from 1 species